rnacentral:lncRNA from 1 species
UAAAAUUUAUCCGUAGUCAACAUCUUUAUUCAAAAUUAUCCUCCCAAAUUUUUAUAAUACAAAAUUAAUAAAAUUUUCAUAAUUAUAGAGUAAAUAUUAUAAAGAUUAUAUAUUUUUUAAUUAAAAAAAUAUAUGCAGAUACUUGCGGAUACCUAUAGGUUGCCCAAAAUAUUCACAACUAAACGAGUAUCUAUCUAUUUUACUCAUAAUUUUUUGAGUAAAAGAAAUUACUAUUCAUACCUGCAAAUUUGUCGGUAAUCUGCGG